UUCCAGGUGGCUGAGAUUACAUAAGCAUUAGACUUUUAAUUUAACUAGGGUGUGUAACACCCCUGGAAA
rnacentral:tRNA from 1 species